rnacentral:lncRNA from 1 species
AUGAGAAAAAAAAACCCUUCCCAGCACAAAUUUCAAACUAAACAACCAUGGGCCCAGUUGUUCGAAACUUAAACCGGCUGUUAAACUAACUGAUGGUUAAAUUUUGACUCAGAAUACAAGUCUUGGUGGGAAACAUUAGUUUAAUGUUUUAAUUUUAUUGUAAAGACUUUUCAGUGUUCACAAUCCUUAACUCAUACAUUUGUUUUACCAAGUCUUCUAAAAUGUUGAAAUAUAACCAUAAAAGUUAAUCGACUGUUUGUUUAAUCACCUGUUAAAAUUUCGAACAAUUGGAUCCAGGACGCUAAGAUCAGUUUCAAAAUACUGUUCAAGGUAGUCUUUUUCUGAGGUAGAACUAUUUAAGUCGAAUAAUGUUAUUGCAGAGCAAUGGUGUAGAGAACCGAGGAGCCGAUGGGGAUAAAAACAAUGUUGUACAAGAUUUUUCUAUUGCUGUUGAUGCCGAAUAUUCUUAUAAUUCAAAAAAUGAAAAGAAUGUUUUAAAAGUUGCACCGUGAUGGAAAGAGAACUUAAUGAAACAAAACUUCAUUCUAACAAAUUAAUGUAAGAUCUGAGUUUACCUGGGACAAAACUAAGGCACUUUAUAGUCGCAUAUUUUCAUAAAAGAGUAAUGGACGAAUAAUGGCGAGUGCUGAACUAUAUAAAUUGUAAAUAGGUUACGCUUGCAACACAUAGAACACAGCCAAUACACAGAGGAUAAACGCAACUUUGUCUCAGAUGCAGCCACCAUACAUGGACUGAUAUUGAUGCUCAUAUUAGAAAAGAAUAUUGCUAUUACUUCAUGUGACUGGGUCAGACUGUAUAAUUGGUAGAUGUAUAGUUCUAGGACGACAACCUAUCAGUGGUGUACUGAACUCGUACACAGUAGUAAUAACCCAUAUUUGGACUCGGCAUUCGCCUCGUCCAAAUAUAGGUUACUACUGCUGUGUACUCGUCCAAUAGAAUUCAGUAUUGUACUCAACACUGUUAAAGCUAUGUGCUUUCUUUAUUACAUCAUAUAGACAUUUGGUUAUUUUAUGUACAUUCUCUAUCACAUUGUGGAGCAUCUUUAUUUGUUAUAUACCUAUUCAUCCGUUCCAGUCAGUCAGUCGCAUUUGUACCAUGCGACAGUCCAAUAAAUUUCCGGACGAUGUAAAUCUUCAUGUUAACCAAACGAUUAUCCAUAUGAAAAUAAACAUCUUCAGUAAAUAAAAUCUGGAAAGUAGAUCCCUCGGAAGCACCGAAAACAAGGCAAACAGUAAAAAUUGCAGACUCGGUUUGAUUGAGUCUGUUCAUGAGCAGUAAUGGAGAAUGCAACACUGCCCAC